rnacentral:tRNA from 1 species
GCCGCCGUAGCUCAGCUGGUGGAGCAGCGGGCUGUUAACCCGUUGGUCAUCGGUUCGAAUCCGAUCGGCGGCGCCA